GCGGCAGGCUAACACAUGCAAGUCGAGCGGAUGAGGGGAGCUUGCUUCUGACUCAGCGGCGGACGGGUGAGUAAUGCCUAGGCAUCUGCCCGAUAGUGGGGGACAACGUUUCGAAAGGAACGCUAAUACCGCAUACGUCCUACGGGAGAAAGUAGGGGAUCUUCGGACCUCACGCUAUCGGAUGAGCCUAGGUCGGAUUAGCUAGUUGGUGAGGUAAUGGCUCACCAAGGCGACGAUCCGUAACUGGUCUGAGAGGAUGAUCAGUCACACUGGGACUGAGACACGGUCCAGACUCCUACGGGAGGCAGCAGUGGGGAAUAUUGGACAAUGGGCGAAAGCCUGAUCCAGCCAUGCCGCGUGUGUGAAGAAGGUCUUCGGAUUGUAAAGCACUUUAAGUUGGGAGGAAGGGCAGUAAGUUAAUACCUUGCUGUUUUGACGUUACCAACAGAAUAAGCACCGGCUAACUUCGUGCCAGCAGCCGCGGUAAUACGAAGGGUGCAAGCGUUAAUCGGAAUUACUGGGCGUAAAGCGCGCGUAGGUGGUUCAGCAAGUUGGAUGUGAAAGCCCCGGGCUCAACCUGGGAACUGCAUCCAAAACUACUGGGCUAGAGUAUGGUAGAGGGUGGUGGAAUUUCCUGUGUAGCGGUGAAAUGCGUAGAUAUAGGAAGGAACACCAGUGGCGAAGGCGACCACCUGGACUAAUACUGACACUGAGGUGCGAAAGCGUGGGGAGCGAACAGGAUUAGAUACCCUGGUAGUCCACGCCGUAAACGAUGUCAACUAGUUGUUGGGUUCCUUGAGAACUUAGUAACGAAGCUAACGCGAUAAGUUGACCGCCUGGGGAGUACGGCCGCAAGGUUAAAACUCAAAGGAAUUGACGG
rnacentral:rRNA from 1 species